AACCCAUGGUUCCAUAGACAGUAUGACAUGUUGGAGCCAUAAACCCAUAGGUUCCAUAGACAGUAUGAAAUGUUGGAGCCAUGACCCCAUAGGUUCCAUAGACAGUAUGAAAUGUUGGAGCCAUAACCCCAUAGGUUCCAUAGACAGUAUGAAAUGUUGGAGCCAUAACCCCAUAGGUUCCAUAGACAGUAUGAAAUGUUGGAGCCAUAAACCCAUAGGUUCCAUAGACAGUAUGAAAUGUUUGAGCCAUAACCCCAUAGUUCCAUAGACAGUAUGAAUGUGGAGCCAUAACCCCAUAGGUUCCAUGACAGUAUGAAAAUGUUGAG
rnacentral:lncRNA from 1 species